CGGUAUAAUUCUUUUAAGCCGUAGAAUACAGGUGUUCUCGUAUUGCUUUUGCAAACCGGAACUUAAUUGCCUGUCGAGGUAGAUAAGAUGAUUGGUGUUUUAUUUUAUUCUGCGGUAGGUAACGCAGUUUUUUUAUGGCUAA
rfam:Candidatus Kerfeldbacteria bacterium RIFCSPHIGHO2_02_FTLL_42_14 rifcsphigho2_02_scaffold_284, whole genome shotgun sequence.